rnacentral:rRNA from 1 species
UACGGAGGAUCCAAGCGUUAUCCGGAUUCAUUGGGUUUAAAGGGUGCGUAGGCGGAAUGAUAAGUCAGCGGUGAAAUCCCUCGGCUUAACCGAGGAACUGCCGUUGAUACUGUCAAUCUUGAGUACAUUUGAUGUGGGUGGAAUGUGUCAUGUAGCGGUGAAAUGCUUAGAUAUGACACAGAACACCGAUUGCGAAGGCAGCUCACAAAACUGUAACUGACGCUGAGGCACGAAAGCGUGGGUAUCAAACAGG